GACAGAGGAUGCAAGCGUUAUCCGGAAUGAUUGGGCGUAAAGCGUCUGUAGGUGGCUUUUCAAGUCCGCCGUCAAAUCCCAGGGCUCAACUCUGGACAGGCGGUGAAAACUACCAAGCUGGAGUACGGUAGGGGCAGGAGGGAAUUUCCGGUGGAGCGGUGAAAUGCAUUGAGAUCGGAAAGAACACCAACGGCGAAAGCACUCUGCUGGGCCGACACUGACACUGAGAGACGAA
rnacentral:rRNA from 1 species